AUCAAGUUAGCGCUUGUCAUCCGCACCGGCGGCGAGAAGCCGAUGACCCAUUUCUCCGCGUUACGAUCGAUGGCCAUAAUUUUAUUUAUCGUAUAUUAUCUGCUGCUGUUAUCUCGAUGAUAAAGGGUUGUUGCUGAAAAAUUAACGCCAUAAAGCGGGAGCUGAGAGUUCUCUUGAUUUGGACAGCUGCGUAUGAGUCACUUUUUAUACACACAUAGCGACUGAGAGAGAGAGAGAGAGAAUGGGAGGAAAGUCAGAGAUGAUUGUGAGAAAUAGCUUCUGCGCAGAGGCUUGAAGCUUUUUCUGGCCAGCGAGUACUUUGCCCUUUGAAACCAGUUUGCCAGUCAUCACAGGAGAUGAGCACACUGUGCACAUUGGAUUAUGAAUUACAGUUUUAUGUCUCAUGAGGCAAAUGCCUUGAAUUAUGUGGGCUUUAUGCCAUACUUUUUGCAAUGACUUGCUGACUGUGCGAAGAAAAAAGAUCCUGCACUCUGUACUCCAAUAAGUAUAAGUAUGAGGUAUCACGGACUGCAUACAGGAAACUGAGUGUGGAGCACUCGAUGAAAGUACCUGCUCGGAGCAAGACAUCUUUGCACCACUACGUACACACACACACACAGCUAUACACAUUCCAGCAGCACUUGUUGCUGCACUAUUUGAAUAACCUCCCAAAAGUCUUGCCAGCUCUCUCAUUAUCACUGCCUUGAGAGUUCCGGCGUCUCAUCAGAGCCAGAUUAUAAUAAGAGGCCAGUCGUGAGUCCUAAUGAAUUCCGGAGCGAGUGCAUUCGUCCCAAUAAGGCCGCCCCGCCUCUGUAUACUCGUGCAACAACGCGGUGCAGCACUACUUUACAACUCACUCUCUCCGCGGCGAGAAAAGCGCAGCAGUCACAGAAAGACUGGAGAGAGAAAGGGGGUUGAAAAAUAUACAAUUUCCUAUGAUAUUCACCUCGUU
rnacentral:lncRNA from 1 species